rnacentral:misc_RNA from 1 species
GGUAUCCUGUGUUGCUUACCCACGGAAAGGAAUUCGACGGCUGUGGUGUCCCCAUCCGCCCAGCGCCCUUUGGGGGCGUGGGGCGGACGCGAGGCGGGCUCCGUGUUUCCCGGCGCGCCGAGUGCGUUGUCGCUCGGCCGCCGCGGCCCAUGGGGUCUCGGCCCGUGCUCUCGGAUGCGGAAAGCUGUGUGUGCGGGCGCGGUGGGGCCUCGGCCUCCGCCCGUCCGAACGGCACGCAAUGUCCCUCGGUGCGAAYGACCGCGCGCGCCCGUCUUGAUCGGCCGACCGGGUCCCCGUCGCGGGGCUGCGGGAGGGCGGCUCAUGCGGGCGCGGGCGUCGGAUAGGAAUGC